CUUGUUUCAAAUCUUUUUCAGAACCUUCUUUGGUCUACCUUGAUGUCAUGGUGUAGACUCAUGAUCAUGGUCAAACAGAGCCAAGUCGUGAAGGUUACAAAAAGCUUAAAAUAAUAGUGAUCUGAGUCCUGUGCAGGCAAGAUAGACGACACAAGUUGGAUACUUUAUAUGAUGUCAUCCCAUAUACAGUUACAAGAAUUCAAGGAUCAAUGAUCACUGCAGUAAGAAAUGGACAUACAAUUACUCAGAAUUCUUCUUUCUUCAAGAAACUACAAAAAGAACAGGACACUGAAGUAUCUGAUGCAGAAGAUGAUGAUUCUGAUAUACCCAAAUUAUUUCAAGAACAUGAUGAUAAUAUGGAUAACUCAGAGAGCAGUGAGGGGGAGGAAAACAGCAUAUGAUCAGUCCUUAGAUACUAAUCGAAAAUACCCUCUCAGAGAAAACAGAAGACCUCCUGAAUACCUUAAAAACUAUGAAAAAUAAUGUGUUUUCAUGUAAUGUAUUAUGUCAUCAUGCAACUCUUUUAUGUGAAAUUUAGUUGGUCUUAUUUCUAGAUAUUAAGCAUAAUAUAUAUAUAGUUAUAUUCAUGUUUAGUUUAAUUGUUAUAUUUCUAAUCUAAAGUAAGGGAGAGAUAUGGUGUCUGUUGUGAUAUUAUAAUAUAUAAUGCUUUCUUCCUAGUUUGUGCUCUGACUUGUAAAUGUAUAUAAUUGUUGCAAAGAAGCAGGGGCGGGGACAGUGUUGUUGGAGUGAGGAACCAGGAAAUAAAGUGUGUAGUUAGUUGCUGUAUAAAUGGACUCUGUGUCAGAUAUAUUUCUAAACCACCUGGAUUUACAAACACUACACCUUUGUAUUGCAUUUUGUCAAAAGAAUGUUUUAGAAAAUACUUUUAACAUUGAUUUACUAUUGUUUAUCUGUUUUGAUUAUUGCAACUGUUAAAACAGAAUAUAUUAAAGUUAUGUAUUUCAUAUUUUGGAAUUAUAAA